rnacentral:lncRNA from 1 species
AACGUUAACAACAUCCCGGAGGCGAGUCUAGCUCCGCCCCAAGCCGGGAGCCGGGAGCCGCGACCGACCGCCGCAAGCCGGGAGCCGCGACCGACCGCCCCAAGCCGGGAGCCGCGACCGACCGCCCCAAGCCGGGAGCCGCGACCGACCGCCGGCAGCCGCGACCUCCGCCCGGCAGCCGCGACCGACCGCCGGGAGCGCGACCAACCGCCCCAAGCCGGGAGCCGCGACCGACCGCCCCAAGCCGGGAGCGCGACCGACCGCCCCAAGCCGGGAGCCGCGACCGACCGCCCCAAGCCGAGCCGGCGACCGACCGCCGGCGAAGCCGCGACCUCCGCCGCGACCGCGGGGAAGGCGGGAGCCGCGACCGACCGCCCCAAGCCGAGCGCGACCCGACCGCCGCAAGCCGGCAGCCGCGACCUCCGCCAGCCGGGAGCGCGACCGACCGCCCCGAGCCGCGACCGACCGCCCCAAGCCGGGAGCCGCGACCGACCGCCCCAAGCCGGGAGCCGCGACCGACCGCCCCAAGCCGAGAGCCGCGACCGACCGCCCGGCAGCCGCGACCUCCGCCGGCAGCCGCCGGGAGGCGGGAGCCGCGACCGACCGCCCCAAGCCGAGAGCCGCGACCGAACGCCGCAAGCCGGCAGCCGCGACCUCCGCCCCAAGCCGGGAGCCGCGACCGACCCCCGGGAGCCGCGACCGACCGCCCCAAGCCGGGAGCCGCGACCGACCGCCCCAAGCCGGGAGCCGCGACCGACCGCCCCAAGCCGGGAGCCGCGACCGACCGCCCCAAGCCGGGAGCCGCGACCGACCGCCGGGAGCCGCGACCUCCGCCGCAAGCCGGGAGCCGCGACCGACCGCCCCAAGCCGAGAGCCGCGACCGAACGCCGCAAGCCGGGAGCCGCGACCGACCGCCGGCAGCCGCGAACGAACGCCGGCAGCCGCGAACGAACGCCGGCAGCCGCGAACGAAGGCCGGGAGCCGCGAGAAAAUGAUGGCGUAGACGCGAUCUGUUUUUCCGCACUUCAAGGGGGGAGGUGCUGCUCAGGUUGGGGGCGUGGUCGCCCCAGUAGCAGGAGUCAACUUACGUCACUUGACGCCCGGGCUGUGAAUGGCUCGUUUACAGACCGUCUGCACGAUCAACCCAAACCACGAAUCAACGACUCAUUGUUUUCUUUUCAUUCUCCGUGGGCUGGCAGACACCCCAGAUAA